AGAACGAACGCUGGCGGCAGGCUUAACACAUGCAAGUCGAGCGCCCCGCAAGGGGAGCGGCAGACGGGUGAGUAACGCGUGGGAACAUACCCUCCGGUUCGGAAUAGCUCAGGGAAACUUGGAUUAAUACCGGAUACGGUCGAGAGGCGAAAGAUUUAUCGCCGGAGGAUUGGCCCGCGUUCGAUUAGCUAGUUGGUGAGGUAACGGCUCACCAAGGCGACGAUCGAUAGCUGGUCUGAGAGGAUGAUCAGCCACAUUGGGACUGAGACACGGCCCAAACUCCUACGGGAGGCAGCAGUGGGGAAUAUGGACAAUGGGCGCAAGCCUGAUCCAGCCAUGCCGCGUGAGUGAUGACGGCCUUAGGGUUGUAAAGCUCUUUCGCUAGGGACGAUAAUGACGGUACCUAGACAAGAAGCCCCGGCUAACUUCGUGCCAGCAGCCGC
rnacentral:rRNA from 1 species